CGGUUAGAAAGCUCGUAGUUGGAUUUCUGUUGAGGAUGACCGGUCCGCUCUUUGAGCGCGUAUCUGGUUCAGCCUUGGCAUCCUCUUGGGGAACGCUACUGUGCUUGAUUGCAUGGGGCGGUAUUCAAGACUUUUACUUUGAGGAAAUUAGAGUGUUCACUGCAAGCGUUAGCAAUUGAAUACAUUAGCAUGGAAUAAUAAUAUAGGACCUUGGUACUAUUUUGUUGGUUUCUAGAACUAAGGUAAUGGUUAAUAGGGACAAUUGGGGGCAUUCGUAUUAACGCGUCAGAGGUGGAAUUCUUAGAUUGCGUUACGACGAACUACUGCGAAAGCAUUUGCCAAGGAUGUUUUCAUUGAUCAAGAACGAAAGUAUGGGGAUCGAAGACGCUUGGAUACCGUCGUAGUCUAUACCAUAAACUAUGCCAACUAGAGAUUGGAGGUCGUUCUCUUUAUGACUCCUUCAGCACCUUAUGAGAAAUCAAAGUCUUUGGGUUCCGGGGGGAGUAUGGUCGCAAGGCUGAAACUUAAAGGAAUUGACGGAAGGGCACCACCAGGAGUGGAGCCUGCGGCUUAAUUUGACUCAACACGGGAAAACUUACCAGGUCCAGACAUAGUAAGGAUUGACAGAUUGAUAGCUCU
rnacentral:rRNA from 1 species